UACAGAGGGUGCGAGCGUUGUCCGGAAUCAUUGGGCGUAAAGCGCGUGUAGGCGGUCCGGUAAGUCCGCUGUGAAAGUCGGGGGCUCAACCCUCGGAUGCCGGUGGAUACUGUCGGGCUUGAGUACGGAAGAGGCGAGUGGAAUUCCUGGUGUAGCGGUGAAAUGCGCAGAUAUCAGGAGGAACACCAAUUGCGAAGGCAGCUCGCUGGGACGUUACUGACGCUGAGACGCGAAAGCGUGGGGAGCAAACAGG
rnacentral:rRNA from 1 species